GGAAUAUUGGACAAUGGAGGAAACUCUGAUCCAGCCAUGCCGCGUGAAGGAUGAAGGCCCUCUGGGUUGUAAACUUCUUUUCUUAGGGAAGAAACCUCUGGAUUUAUCCGGAGUUGACGGUACCUAAGGAAUAAGCACCGGCUAACUCCGUGCCAGCAGCCGCGGUAAUACGGAGGGUGCAAGCGUUAUCCGGAUUCCCUGGGUUUAAAGGGUGCGUAGGCGGAUCGGUAAGUCAGAGGUGAAAGCCCCGAGCUCAACUUGGGAAUUGCCUUUGAUACUGUCGAUCUUGAAUAUAGUUGAAGUAGGCGGAAUGAGUCGUGUAGCGGUGAAAUGCAUAGAUAUGACUCAGAACACCGAUUGCGAAGGCAGCUUGCUAAACUAUCAUUGACGCUGAUGCACGAAAGCGUGGGUAGCA
rnacentral:rRNA from 1 species